CCUACGGGAGGCAGCAGUGGGGAAUAUUGGACAAUGGGCGAAAGCCUGAUCCAGCCAUGCCGCGUGUGUGAAGAAGGUCUUCGGAUUGUAAAGCACUUUAAGUUGGGAGGAAGGGCAGUUACCUAAUACGUGAUUGUCUUGACGUUACCGACAGAAUAAGCACCGGCUAACUCUGUGCCAGCAGCCGCGGUAAUACAGAGGGUGCAAG
rnacentral:rRNA from 1 species